rnacentral:rRNA from 1 species
UACGGAGGGAGCUAGCGUUGUUCGGAAUUACUGGGCGUAAAGCGCACGUAGGCGGCUUUGUAAGUUAGAGGUGAUAGCCUGGAGCUCAACUCCAGAAUUGCCUUUAAGACUGCAUCGCUUGAAUCCAGGAGAGGUGAGUGGAAUUCCGAGUGUAGAGGUGAAAUUCGUAGAUAUUCGGAAGAACACCAGUGGCGAAGGCGUCUCACUGGACUGGUAUUGACGCUGAGGUGCGAAGGCGUGGGGAGCAAUCAGGAUUAGAUACCCUG